rnacentral:rRNA from 1 species
AUUGAACGCUGGCGGCAUGCCUUACACAUGCAAGUCGAACGGCAGCACGGGAGCAAUCCUGGUGGCGAGUGGCGAACGGGUGAGUAAAGUAUCGGAACGUGCCCAGUCGUGGGGGAUAACGUAGCGAAAGUUACACUAAUACCGCAUACGAUCUAUGGAUGAAAGCGGGGGAUCGCAAAACCUCGCGCGAUUGGAGCGGCCGAUAUCAGAUUAGGUAGUUGGUGGGGUAAAGGCUCACCAAGCCGACGAUCUGUAGCUGGUCUGAGAGGACGACCAGCCACACUGGGACUGAGACACGGCCCAGACUCCUACGGGAGGCAGCAGUGGGGAAUUUUGGACAAUGGGCGAAAGCCUGAUCCAGCCAUGCCGCGUGCAGGAUGAAGGCCUUCGGGUUGUAAACUGCUUUUGUACGGAACGAAAAGGUUUGGGCUAAUAAGCUGAGCUCAUGACGGUACCGUGAGAAUAAGCACCGGCUAACUACGUGCCAGCCGCCGCCGUAA